GAUGAACGCUGGCGGCGUGCCUAAUACAUGCAAGUCGAGCGAACAGACGAGGAGCUUGCUCCUCUGACGUUAGCGGCGGACGGGUGAGUAACACGUGGAUAACCUACCUAUAAGACUGGGAUAACUUCGGGAAACCGGAGCUAAUACCGGAUAAUAUAUUGAACCGCAUGGUUCAAUAGUGAAAGACGGUUUUGCUGUCACUUAUAGAUGGAUCCGCGCCGCAUUAGCUAGUUGGUAAGGUAACGGCUUACCAAGGCAACGAUGCGUAGCCGACCUGAGAGGGUGAUCGGCCACACUGGAACUGAGACACGGUCCAGACUCCUACGGGAGGCAGCAGUAGGGAAUCUUCCGCAAUGGGCGAAAGCCUGACGGAGCAACGCCGCGUGAGUGAUGAAGGUCUUCGGAUCGUAAAACUCUGUUAUUAGGGAAGAACAAAUGUGUAAGUAACUAUGCACGUCUUGACGGUGCCUAAUCAGAAAGCCACGGCUAACUACAUG
rnacentral:rRNA from 1 species